UACCCAUCGAAUAAGAAAUGUUCCUCCACCAUUUCUCUUUGCUCGUCUUUUGGCUAUGAAAUGACUGCACAUUCGAGGCAAGGGUUCUAAAUACAUCUGUUAUCUUGGCAUCUUGUCAAUGGAAGUAUCGAAUGAAGAGUAAAUAUUCUACUCUCCUCAAAGAAAGUUACCAGCAGAUGAACUUACCCAUCAGACCGUAUUGCUCAGUGAAACUCGCGGAAGCCAGCAUGGGCAGAGCGUCCAUUUGCAGCAGCGGAGCUGCAAAAAUGAGGUCAAGCAAUCCAAAAAUAUUUCAAGGAUGAUGGUACCUCAAUCAAACAGUUUGCAGUUCUCUAUAUGGGGGACUCGUCUCUGCAGGAGCAUCAAUUUCCUCUCUGGUAACCACAAUAGCACUUGCAAUAUUGGGAAACACAGUUUUAAUUCCACAACUAGCAGGGAGCUUGUUUGAACCUUCAUCUGGCA